rnacentral:lncRNA from 1 species
AGGGGAGCAACAUCUGGAAUGUGAAUGAAUAAAGCAGUUUUUAAAAGUAAAAUAAAGUAUAACCUUUAACUGAGCAUGCUUAGUUGCAUCCAUCUAACUGAGUAUGCUCAGAUGUGCAUGUCCCUGAAGUGCUUUCUCAUAUGCAUAUCUGUAGGCUUUCCGAAUAAAACCCCUGCUGUUCCCAGUUCCAAUGAAAGCAUGGCCUGGUACCAUUUCUCAAGCUCACUCACCUGCUGCAGCAUCCAGAGACUGCAAGACAGACAUAAACCUAUCUCUAGCAGCAAUGGCAUGACAGACAGAAAACUACCAGGACCUCCUUCUUAUCUAUGUUGCUGCUGCAUGUAUGGAGACUGGGUUUCCAAUUAAUGUGACAGUACUUGGCUGUAUCUGUGUCCAAAGCUCCACUGCAUCCUUUAUUAUCACCCUGGAUGAGCUACAGGUUGCUCAAUUUUAAAAUCCUAAUUUGGAAAAAUUACAGAAAAUCAUACAAAAUUUAAGUUUUAAAAGAAAUAUCUGUGGAGUGCUUCCCAGAAGUCUGAAGCUUAUGAACACAUUCCAGACACUUCUGAAGGCCACAGCAGAGGCCCGUUCUGAGG